rnacentral:rRNA from 1 species
GAUGAACGCUGGCGGCGUGCCUAAUACAUGCAAGUCGAGCGAACAGACGAGGAGCUUGCUCCUUUGACGUUAGCGGCGGACGGGUGAGUAACACGUGGAUAACCUACCUAUAAGACUGGGAUAACUUCGGGAAACCGGAGCUAAUACCGGAUAACAUGUUGAACCGCAUGGUUCAACAGUGAAAGACGGUCUUGCUGUCACUUAUAGAUGGAUCCGCGCCGCAUUAGCUAGUUGGUAAGGUAACGGCUUACCAAGGCAACGAUGCGUAGCCGACCUGAGAGGGUGAUCGGCCACACUGGAACUGAGACACGGUCCAGACUCCUACGGGAGGCAGCAGUAGGGAAUCUUCCGCAAAGGGCGAAAGCCUGACGGAGCAACGCCGCGUGAGUGAAGAAGGUCUUCGGAUCGUAAAACUCUGUUAUUAGGGAAGAACAAAUGUGGAAGUAACUAUGCACGUCUUGACGGUACCUAAUCAGAAAGCCACGGCUAACUACGUG